UACGUAGGGUGCGAGCGUUAAUCGGAAUUACUGGGCGUAAAGCGUGCGCAGGCGGUUUUGUAAGCCAGAUGUGAAAGCCCCGGGCUUAACCUGGGAAUGGCAUUUGGGACUGCAAGGCUUGAGUGCGGCAGAGGAGACUGGAAUUCCUGGUGUAGCAGUGAAAUGCGUAGAUAUCAGUAGGAAUACCGAUGGCGAAGGCAGGUCUCUGGGCUGACACUGACGCUCAUGCACGAAAGCGUGGGGAGCAAGCAGG
rnacentral:rRNA from 1 species